AACGAACGCUGGCGGCAGGCCUAACACAUGCAAGUCGAGCGAGGACUUCGGUCCUAGCGGCGGAUGGGUGAGUAACGCGUGGGAACGUGCCCUUUGCUUCGGAAUAGCCCUGGGAAACUGGGAGUAAUACCGGAUGAGCCCUUUGGGGGAAAGAUUUAUCGGCGAAGGAUCGGCCCGCGUUGGAUUAGGUAGUUGGUGGGGUAAUGGCCUACCAAGCCGACGAUCCAUAGCUGGUUUGAGAGGAUGAUCAGCCACACUGGGACUGAGACACGGCCCAGACUCCUACGGGAGGCAGCAGUGGGGAAUCUUAGACAAUGGGGGAAACCCUGAUCGAGCCAUGCCGCGUGAGCGAUGAAGGCCUUAGGGUUGUAAAGCUCUUUCAGCUGGGAAGAUAAUGACGGUACCAGCAGAAGAAGCCCCGGCUAACUCCGUG
rnacentral:rRNA from 1 species